CUCCAAAAAUGAGUGCUAAAAAAAUUUCGAUUGUUUUUCGAUUGUUAGUUGAAAACUUUAAAAACUUUAAAAUUUCUACAAGUCCAACUAAUGAGCAACUGCGCAUAGUCAUAUAGAGAUAGUGCAGCUAACUAUUUUCAAUACAAAUGUUGUGCCCUUCUAUUCCCCAUACGAAUUUGAAUUAUUUUUUUGAUGACUUGCAUUUUUUUCUAUUUUAAUCGUGAAAAUUUUUGCACUAAAUUUUGGAACAAAGAAUUUAAUCAAUUCAAGAUUAUCGUUGUUCAAAGUUAUUGUGGUCUAGAAAAUUGGCCUCAAAAUCAAUGAAGAUCGUUUAGUUCGGUCAUCAUGUAAUAAUGAUACAAGUUGGCGAAAAAAUUCCAUUUUCGAUGACUUUCAAAUGUAUUUAUCACAUUUUGUUUUUCAUCAAAUUGUAUUCAAUCACAUCCUUUUUAAGUUUUCUUUUUCAGAGUCCAUUAUACUUGAUAAUUGGAAUUCGGAUUAAUAUAUAAAAACAUGGUCAAUAAGCAUAAAAUUUUCAUUGAUGAUCAAUGAUCAUUAGACAUAUAAUUGGUGUCGUCUUUAGAAAAACGAUCAUGGUAAUGAUGCCGAACAGUACAAAUUUAUUGGCGGAUAUCUGGUCACUAACAUGGUACGAUGUCCAAUGAAACAUGUUCAGCAUCAGGUAACUUUGGAAUUUCGCUACCAAUCAAUAAUUCUAACACUUACAUUUCUCAAAAGUCUAUUCAGAACAUGCCUGCUUUUGGUUGAAUUGUCGGAACAACUUAUUUAGUAAGUCGACAUAUUCAUUUUUCAUAUCUGAUAAAGAUUCGUCUAUUUUUUCUUAUUAGAUUCGCUAAAAUUUUACGAUCAACAAGUUGAAAUUCGACUUAUGAUUAUGUUCAAGAUCAAUUCGGCGUUUCCAUUGUUCAUCAGCAUCCAAUUCAAGAAUAGUUUGGCAAUGUUCAACACUUGAUAAUAGGUUAGGCUAGGGUUAGAUUAGGCUUAGGAACAUGAUCUGAGCUAUUUCCUAUUGAAUUCGAUGCUGAUUGAAACUUUGGAAUCAAUGAAGCGAUUGACAAUUACGAUUAAUAGUCGAAGAUUCACGAACUGGAACAUACACUCGAAACUGAUAAUGGAUCACCGGUGAACAAUUUGGAAAUUGAAUCUCGAAUCAUGGAUUGAAUUUGGUCAUUGACUUGGAACUUGGACCGCGAAUUACGGAUUUAUUUCAAACGAGGCAAUUAACGUUGAAUGGCGUAAUUGGGGUGUGAAAUAUGAAUGCAUUUUAUUAUUUCAAAUAUUUUAAUCAAUUAAUAUAACAAUAAAAUCAUUUAUCAUUUGAA